ensembl:snoRNA snoRNA:Me28S-C1237
AGGUUGAUGAUGAUCGUCUUAGGUUUUAAAGUUUGCUGUUGUUAAGUUGGCUUUGCCCAUGCUUGGCUUGUUGGCCACAAAAUUUCCCAUUACUGAUUAA